rnacentral:rRNA from 1 species
CUACGGAGGGUGCAAGCGUUAAUCGGAAUUACUGGGCGUAAAGCGUACGUAGGCGGUCCGUUAAGUUAGAUGUGAAAGCCCCGGGCUUAACCUGGGAACUGCAUUUAAAACUGGCGAAAUAGAGUUGAGUAGAGGGGAGUGGAAUUUCAGGUGUAGCGGUGAAAUGCGUAGAGACCUGAAGGAACACCAGUGGCGAAGGCGACUCCCUGGACUCGAACUGACGCUGAGGUACGAAAGCGUGGGUAGCAAACGGGAUUAGAUACCCCAGUAGUCC